UUGGGUUAGUCCGCACGAGCGCACCCUCACCUUCAGUUGCCAGCGGUUUGGCCGGGCACUCUGAAGGAACUGCCGGUGACAAGCCGGAGGAAGGCGGGGAUGACGUCAAGUCCUCAUGGCCCUUACGGGCUGGGCUACACACGUGCUACAAUGGCGGUGACAGUGGGAUGCGAGCGCGCGAGCGCAAGCCGAUCCCAAAAAACCGUCUCAGUUCAGAUUGCACUCUGCAACUCGGGUGCAUGAAGGCGGAAUCGCUAGUAAUCGCGGAUCAGCAUGCCGCGGUGAAUACGUUCCCGGGCCUUGUACACACCGCCCGUCACACCAUGGGAGUUGGCUUUACCUUAAGCCGGUGCGUGAACCCAGCAAUGGGGCACAGCCGUCCACGGUAAGGUCAGCGACUGGGGUGAAGUCGUAACAAGGUAACCA
rnacentral:rRNA from 1 species